rnacentral:rRNA from 1 species
UACAGAGGGUGCGAGCGUUAAUCGGAAUUACUGGGCGUAAAGCGUGCGUAGACGGUUAUUUAAGUCGGGUGUGAAAGCCCCGGGCUCAACCUGGGAAUUGCAUUCGAGACUGAAUAGCUAGGGUACGGUAGAGGGAAGUGGAAUUUCCGGCGUAGCGGUGAAAUGCGUAGAUAUCGGAAGGAACAUCAGUGGCGAAAGCGACUUCCUGGACCAGUACCGACGUUCAGGCACGAAAGCGUGGGGAGCAAACAGG